GAUGAAGAACGUAGCGAAAUGCGAUAAGUAAUGUGAAUUGCAGAAUUCAGUGAAUCAUCGAAUCUUUGAACGCACAUUGCGCCCCCUGGUAUUCCGGGGGGCAUGCCUGUUCGAGCGUCAUUUCACCACUCAAGCCUCGCUUGGUAUUGGGCAACGCGGUCCGCCGCGUGCCUCAAAUCGACCGGCUGGGUCUUCUGUCCCCUAAGCGUUGUGGAAACUAUUCGCUAAAGGGUGUUCGGGAGGCUACGCCGUAAAACAACCCCAUUUCUGAGGUUGACCUCGGAUCAGGUAGGGAUACCCGCUGAACUUAAGCAUAUCAAUAAGCGGAGGA
rnacentral:misc_RNA from 1 species